rnacentral:rRNA from 2 species
ACGGAGCAACGCCGCGUGAGUGAUGAAGGCUUUCGGGUCGUAAAACUCUGUUGUUAGGGAAGAACAAGUGCUAGUUGAAUAAGCUGGCACCUUGACGGUACCUAACCAGAAAGCCACGGCUAACUACGUGCCAGCAGCCGCGGUAAUACGUAGGUGGCAAGCGUUAUCCGGAAUUAUUGGGCGUAAAGCGCGCGCAGGUGGUUUCUUAAGUCUGAUGUGAAAGCCCACGGCUCAACCGUGGAGGGUCAUUGGAAACUGGGAGACUUGAGUGCAGAAGAGGAAAGUGGAAUUCCAUGUGUAGCGGUGAAAUGCGUAGAGAUAUGGAGGAACACCAGUGGCGAAGGCGACUUUCUGGUCUGUAACUGACACUGAGGCGCGAAAGCGUGGGGAGCAAACAGGAUUAGAUACCCUG